UUAAUACUGAAAUGAGUUAAGACUGUGGAAUUGUUGAGAAGCCAUGAGAAGACAUGCCUUGCUUCUCUUUUGUCCUCUGUCAUGAUUGUAGUUGUACUGAGACCCCCAAGUCAUACUUCUUGUUAAGCCUGCAGAAGUGUGAGUCAAUUAAACCUAUUUUCUUCAUAAA